GGUUACGUCACGAAAUGUUACGUUUGCUCAAAACAUUGCUGCACGUACCCCAAAUGCGAGUGCGAUUUGCUCGAUUGUGACUGUUAUUGGGCCAGAAGAUACAACUUUGGCAGAUAAAGCAUGAUUCAUUUCAGUAAAAAGGUUCAAGAUAUCAUCGUUUCUUUGGUUCUUACAAUUGUUGUCUUGGCUGUGUGGGCCCACGUCAUCAUCGCCGGGAGAAUCGCUGCCCUGAGGGUGUAUCCAGCUUUGGGUCAGCCACCUGCCUGAGCUGAGCCUGGGUAACGAUGUGAACGGAAAAACGAUCCUGCUCGGAAGUGACGAAGCGGCAAAGAAUGCUACUGGGCAUCAUCUUGCUUGGAGAAGUCUGGUACAUGUAGGCACGGAAAUAGGUGAACAGAGAAAGUGAACCAGUGCAGUGGACGUGAACAUCACUCCAUGUACUCGCAAAGCCCCGUCAUUUGUUUGAGCGUUGAGUCCAUACCACAGUCAUGGGAUGCUUGAUAAAUAAUUCAAGAAGGGAGCAAACUGAGUUGUGACACCAGUGAUUGGCUCAUCGGGGCAGGAUUCCUCAUGGAAGGCACCGAUACUUCAUACUUCACCCGUCCCACUGCAGAGCUAAUUUUCUUUCACCCUCAUCGAAAUACAAGUCUCUUUAAUAAUAGCAUUCCAGUGACUUAGCAUCAGGACUGCUAGGCCUGCAACUUCUGAAUUAUUGUAAAAUGUCUUCAUUUAGGGACACAAUCUCAAAAGUUCCCCUGGCAAGAUCUGACCAUCAAACACCAAAGGUUUGACUAGGAAGAGCAGUAUAAUUCUCAAGUUACAUUUGUACUCACCAUGACUGUAUCGUAUAGGAGAGCUUAACACAGAAAUUGUACAGUGACCAUGCGGAUAUCAUUCAGAGACCCCACAGCUUCAAUAGUCAUGGUCUACUUAUUCUCCUAAUUUAAGCAAUUUUUUUUCCUGUGCUGUUGGUCUUUUUUUAUUGGUGACAACCCUGGCAUAUUCUUCUUAAGAUGUAAUUGAAAUUUAAGUACAUGUAUAUACCCACCCUAACAGCAGGUGUUUUUCUUUUGUUUGCUGUUUUGGCUUCUAUUGUUUGUGCACAUUUACAUGAAGUUCAUAAUUAGUUGUUUUUAGGAAGGUUGGUACCACACUUCCCUGUCGUAUACAUCAUAUGGGGGGGGUCAAAUAUCCUGUUGGCUUCCCAGCUUGUCAAAUAAUGGCAUUGUAGACUUCUCCCCAAUUUCAAUUGCAUUUUCUCCGUUUUGUCCUGAGGGGCAGGGUGAUAAACUUUGGCAGCCUUCAUUAUGGGGGAAUGCCCUGUUGUUGCUUGCAAACUAACAAGAAGUCGUAGAACAAAAGUACAGUAAACCCAUUCAGUUAAAGUACUGUACAUGUACUGUGAACACAUAUUCAGUACAAGAACAGGUUGUUGGCCUAAUGAGCCGAGACGAUUUACCGUCUAACAUGAAGAGAUUUUUAAUGCCUUUUUGUGUAGCGCCCUCUAUGUGAGACACGGGGGCAGCGCUGACCCGGGAUGGUCUUUUGUGGUGUUGUCGAGUGAGCGAAACGGUGGGGUGGAAGCCCAUGAAGCUGAAGGAGCGUGUCUCCACGACCUAGGUCUAUGACAUGACCUUGGCGCUCUCAGAGGCUGGGUUUUGAAUUUCCGGCGUGCCCCUUUAUCGAAGGAAUGGGCGCGGUGCGUGAUAGUUUUGAACUGGAUACUAGACGGUUAUUGACAAGGUGGUGGACCUUCAGAGAGCAUCCAGUGUAAUGAUCAUCACCACUGAUCUACCGUGAUUUAUAAGCACAUUAAUAGGUUGCAGUUACAAGACAUCGUUACAGUUGUGGGCCAGGAUUCUUCAUUCUUUAUUUUUGCGAAAGUCUGCAAAGCUACAAUUUCGAUCAUAGGCUACGUUGUCUUUCCUCAAAGCUCUACAGUAGAUUGCCAGCAUAACGUUGCGGAAGUCGCUUUUCGAUUAUCCAUUCAGGUGUUUUCGUACAUUACUUUGGUACAUGUAAUAAAAUACUUCGAGAAAAAUGUUUCACUUUUAACACAGGUGACAGAUCUGAAAACUGAAAAGUCAGUUUGUGUCUGUUGGUCAGCUUCAAGUUUGAGUUGGGAGUGAGGUGGUUGUGGCCUCUUACACGAUUUGUAUUCCAGAAGCAACAAGCCGGAGCAGUUUUACCGAGGUUUUUCAAGCAGUCUGAAUUCAUCAUGGAAAAUGAUCAAGGCCGGCGGGUCACACGGUUUCGAUACAAAACGUCGUUUUCUACAGUGUUUCAUGGCAUAAAAUCAUUUUUUUGGGUAUGUACAACCCUUUUAUUAUGGAAAGCCCACUUGAAACUUUGUCUUGAUUAGGAGAACAGACAUUGUUCCCGGCGAUGAAAUCUUAAAAAAGUUUUUCACGUGAAUAGAAA